rnacentral:lncRNA from 1 species
UAAUUUCUUUCCAAUUAGAAUAAUUGUCCCCAGUAAGCAUAGGAAUACGAGAAACAUCAUUAAGAAAUGCAGUAGAGGAAGAAGCUGCAAAAACAAAGAAAAAAUUAAACUUUAUCGCCUACUAUAAGAUAAUAAUCUUUAGAUUAAAUAAAUUCUACCUUCCUAUGGGCAGAGGCGCUACACACAUAGAAUUUAUCUACUUUAAUAAUAAGACUAGCAGAAAACUAAUUUCUAAAUAACAAGAUUUCUGUACCUGUGGGCAUAAGAAAACUCGCUAUCUAGAAAUUCAACCUACUAUCUUAUUCCAGUCAAAAAUAAGAAAAUUAUUUUAUUUGACUGUAAUAAAUAGUCAAACUUUAAUUCAAUAUCAGUAAUACCUUAUAUAUGUUUCAUUAUCUAUAGGAUGCUGUGGCUACUCCUGAGUAUAAUGAAAAUUACAAAUAACCUUAUUUGACAUUGAAUGACUAUUUAAAAUUAAAUUAGGAAUUCAUAUGAAUUUUCGGGUUAACUUUAAAUCAAUAUCAUCUUAUAAAAAUACCAUAAGUGAUCAAAUAUCAUGACUAGGAUGCUGUGGCUACUCCUAGACAUAAUUAAUCUCACAUUAAUCUUUAUAUGAUAUUGAAUGACCGAAAAUUUCAUAUUAUUUCAAAAUGCAGCAGAAAAAUAAUAAAAGUUUUUGAAUAAUUUUCUUAACAACUUUAUGUGACUCAAAGAUUAUAAAAUGUAUGAAGUCUAUAUUCUCUACUCUUAAAUUUUUAUGAUCACCUUAUAUAUGUUUAGAAUAAUAAUGCAAAAAUAUACCGUAAAAUAUUAAAUUAAACAUAUUACUUUAUAUCAUGAAUAAACAAACGAGUAGAACAAAAAAUUAUAUAUAACAAAUACCAAAAGUUAUAUAUAACUUUAAUAUAUAGACUUCUUCAUAAAUAAGUCACGUUAGAAAAUUAUUAACCAAAACUAUAAUACAUAUAUAUCUCUAUAAUCUUUUCAUUAAAAACAAAUAAAUAAAUAAAUUUUAUUAUGUC